rnacentral:rRNA from 1 species
CCCGAGCGUUGUUCGGAAUCACUGGGCGUAAAGGGAGCGUAGACGGCAGGGUAAGUCAGAUGGGAAAUCCCGGGGCUCAACCCCGGAACGGCAUCCGAUACUGCCCUGCUUGAGUAAUGGAGGGGUAGCUGGAAUUCUCGGUGUAGCAGUGAAAUGCGCGGAUAUCGAGAGGAACACUCGUGGCGAAAGCGAGCUACUGGACAUUGACUGACGCUGAGGCUCGAAGGCCAGGGUAGCGAAAGGGAUUAGAUACCCCUGUAGUCCUGGCAGUAAACGGUGUGCGCUUGGUGUGGGGGGUUUCGACCCCCAUUGUGCCGGAGCUAACGCGUUAAGCGCACCGCCUGGGAAGUACGGUCGCAAGACUAAAACUCAAAGAAAUUGACGGGGACCCGCACAAGCGGUGGAGUAUGUGGCUUAAUUCGAUGCAACGCGAAGAACCUUACCUGGGCUUGACAUGCAUUGCUAAUCCGCUGAAAGGCGGUGAGUCUUCGGACACCUUGCACAGGUGCUGCAUGGCCGUCGUCAGCUCGUGUCGUGAGAUGUUGGGUUAAGUCCCGCAACGAGCGCAACCCCUGUGAUUAGUUGCCAGCACGUGAAGGUGGGGACUCUAAUCAGACUGCCCAGAUCAACUGGGAGGAAGGUGGGGACGACGUCAGGUCAGUAUGGCCCUUACGCCCAGGGCUGCACACGUACUACAAUGCCCAGCACAAUUGGAACCGAUACCGCGAGGUGGAGGGAAUCCGAAAAACUGGGCCCAGUUCGGAUUGGAGGCUGCAACUCGCCUCCAUGAAGCCGGAAUCGCUAGUAAUGGCACAUCAGCUACGGUGCCGUGAAUACGUUCCCGNGGUCUUGUACACACCGCCCGUCGCAUCAUGGAGCCGUAGCACCCGAAGUAUCUUAAGUCCUAAGUGAAGCUGUAACUGGGAUGAAGUC